AAAAAAAUGAUUAAAAUUCUCAAAUUUAUUUAUGUUUUGAUCAUCUUUCUUUCUCUAAUUCUUCUUGUUACGAGCUGUAAGUCUCCUUUAUAACAUUUAGUUAACAAUUUUUCUUCGUUAUUAUAUAAAUAAAUAAACAAUUUUUCAUCCCAUAACAUUCUUUUAUACAUUCAUUUUUGGCAUAUCACAGAUCUUUAUCCAAUCAUUAAUGGCAACGGUGAUCAUGCUCCCUGCAUUACUGCUCACGAUUGUCCAAACCAUAGACGUUGUUUUCUUUUUUUUUUGGCGAAAAAACCAUUCUUCUGUUUCGCGAUGCAUUGCCAAUAAAUGUUUUAUUUGUAUGUCAUAACGUGAGUACUUCUAUAAUUUAUCUCACUCUUAUAAUUAUAUGGUACUUUCUAAGUCUAUAGUUUUAUUUGUAUGUCCAAACCACCGCAGUUUGCGGUCGCAAUCGCAACCACCAUUAAAUGGGAUGAGUGAAAUGUAAUGUUGACAUUGGAUUUAAUCGUGAACACAACAAGGUGAAUUAUGGUUGUUGUCUUAAAGAGAUGGUUAACUUUAUUUCGGCUCGGGUUCGAGUUGCAUGUCCAUGGUUGGAAGUUCAUGAGGGGGAAGCCCAUGCAUUAUGGCAUGCUAUUGUGUGGAUUGGUAGCAAUGUACCAUGGGUUUGCACAAUGUUCAGUUUGAGACUCAUUGUGGUGGAUGUGGAUGCAAUUUACUCUUACAUGACAUAUGUAUCAGAGAGUCAGGGCCGUGUAGAGUGAUUUUGAGGUUUAAGAUAAACACUUUAAAAAAGAGAUUUAAUAGUAUAAUAAUAUAGGCCAAAUGAAUUUAGUGAUUUUUAAGUUUCGC
rnacentral:lncRNA from 1 species